GAAGUGAUGAAGGAAAGAACGGAUGAGCAAUUGUGAUACAAUAGGACACUUACGUGGUCAACUCACAAAUGCUCAUCCGUUCUUUCCUUCAUCACUUCAAAUGAUGCAAAAUAUAAAAUCCAGCCUAAUAGAACAUUUCAAUACAACAUGAUAACCAGCACAGUAGUCUAUGUAAACAAAUAGAAUAAGAGCACAUCUCAAGCCUGUUGCACUGGCAGAAAUUUUUAAUAU
rnacentral:misc_RNA from 1 species